UGUCUGUGGAGGAAGACUUGCCUUUGGGUUGCUGGCCCCAGGCCAGUGGUUGUCAUCCAGGUGCCCAGCCUUGGUGCACUGAAGCUCAGGCCCUUCCUGGUGCCCUGGUCUCCUGCACUGAGCUGUGUGAACUCUUCUGCCCAGGCGAGCCCCUGGCCUUGAGCGGGAUAGUGAGCUCUUCUGCCCAGCAGACCCCCUGGCAUUGACCAGCAUAGAUGGUGACCCCAGAGGAAGACUUGCAUUGUGCCCACUGGCCCCAGGCCAGUGGCCGUCAGACAGUUGCCCAGCCCCUGGUGAGCUGAAGCUCAGGCCCUACUGGCAACCUGGUCUCCUGGAUUGAGCUUGUGACCUCUUUUGCCCGGCAGACCCCCUGGCAUUGACCAGCAUAGAUGGUGAGACUGGAAGAAAACUUUCAUUGGGCCCGCUGUCCUGGGGUGAGUGGUCAUCAGUCAGGUGCCCAGCCCUUGGUGUGGUGAAGCUCAGGCUCUUCCUGGCGCCCUGGUCUCCUGCACAGAGCUGUGUGAGCUCUUCUACCCAGGCGAGCCCCUGCCCUUGAGCGGCAUAGAUGGUGACCCCAGAGGAAGACUUGCGUUGGGCCCACUGGCUCUGGUCUCAGCCCCUGGUGAGCUGAAGCUCAGGCCCUUCCUGGCACCCUGGUCUGCUGCACUGAGCUGCGUGAGCUCUUCCACCCAGGUGCAACCCCCUGGCAUUGACCAGCAUAGUGAGCUCUUCCCCCCAGGCGGGCCCCCUGGCAUUGACUAGCAUCGAUGGUGAGACCAGAGGAAAACUUUCACUGGGCCCGCUGUCCU